UUAUUUUGGUGUAAAGCACAUGAAUUUUUGGUAUUCAAGGAAGGAAACUAGAUUUCUUAGUUAAAU
rnacentral:tRNA from 1 species